rnacentral:rRNA from 1 species
UACGUAGGGGCUAGCGUUAUCCGGAAUUACUGGGCGUAAAGGGUGCGUAGGUGGUUUCUUAAGUCAGAGGUGAAAGGCUACGGCUCAACCGUAGUAAGCCUUUGAAACUGGGAAACUUGAGUGCAGGAGAGGAGAGUGGAAUUCCUAGUGUAGCGGUGAAAUGCGUAGAUAUUAGGAGGAACACCAGUUGCGAAGGCGGCUCUCUGGACUGUAACUGACGCUGAGGCACGAAAGCGUGGGGAGCAAACAGGAUUAGAUACCCGGGUAGUCCCUGAGCGGG